GACGAACGCUGGCGGCGUGCCUAAUACAUGCAAGUCGAACGCUUUGAUUUUCACCGGAGCUUGCUCCACCGAAAAUCAAAGAGUGGCGGACGGGUGAGUAACACGUGGGCAACCUGCCCAACAGAGGGGGAUAACACUUGGAAACAGGUGCUAAUACCGCAUAAUUUGUUUUCCCGCAUGGGAGAAUAAUAAAAGACGCUUCGGUGUCACUGUUGGAUGGGCCCGCGCUGCAUUAGUUAGUUGGUGGGGUAAUGGCCUACCAAGACCGUGAUGCAUAGCCGACCUGAGAGGGUGAUCGGCCACACUGGGACUGAGACACGGCCCAGACUCCUACGGGAGGCAGCAGUAGGGAAUCUUCGGCAAUGGACGAAAGUCUGACCGAGCAACGCCGCGUGAGUGAAGAAGGUUUUCGGAUCGUAAAACUCUGUUGUUAGAGAAGAACAAGUGGGAGAGUAACUGUUCCCACCUUGACGGUAUCUAACCAGAAAGCCACGGCUAACUACGUGCCAGCAGCCGCGGUAAUACGUAGGUGGCAAGCGUUGUCCGGAUUUAUUGGGCGUAAAGCGAGCGCAGGCGGUUUCUUAAGUCUGAUGUGAAAGCCCUCGGCUCAACCGAGGAAGGUCAUUGGAAACUGGGGAACUUGAAUGCAGAAGAGGAGAGUGGAAUUCCAUGUGUAGCGGCGAAAUGCGUAGAUAUAUGGAGGAACACCAGUGGCGAAGGCGACUCUCUGGUCUGUAAUUGACGCUGAGGCUCGAAAGCGUGGGGAGCAAACAGG
rnacentral:rRNA from 1 species